CGAGAUCAAGCCACUGCACUCCAUCCUCAGUGACACAGCGAGACUCCAUUUCAAAAAAAAAAGAAAGAAAGAAAAGAAAAAUGGAAAGGGAUGAGCCAAAAAUAGACACAUCUGGCUUUGGAAUACAGCAGCAUGCACAUCUACUCACUCAUUUAGGGUGCUAUCACCCAACCCUACCAUGCCUGGCUCCAAACUUGUCUCUGCCUCCAAGCCUCCUAUUAACUAAGUGUAGAAUGGCUGGUUGGGAAGAAAAGGUGCUGGAUAAUUCUAGACCAAGUCUGCGUGGUCUAAAGUGUGGAUGAAUCUUAUCUCUUGCAAGAAUGCACAUGGAAACCAUCUUAGGUAUCAAUAUGACUGCCUGUCUCCAGUGGUCAAAUACCAUAGUACUAGAAUUUGGCCAGGGCAGCUGUUGAGCACUUAGUAGAGUGUUGCUUCAGAGAAAUCCUCUUCUUUGUAAUUGAAUCCAGCAGCUGCUCCAAGCUUUUCUGCCAUUUGAAGCUUCUGCUGGGAGCCAGCUGUGACCAGAGGAAUAGCUCCAGCCAUCCGGGAAACCACUGGCCAUGUUUCAUGCUGCCCUACGGAGAGGCUCAUAUGUCAAGGAACUGAUGUCUCUGGCUAACAUCUGACAAGAACCUGAAGCCUGUGACAGCCAUGAGAGUGAACUUGCAGGCCGAUUGCUCCCCAGGUGAGCCUGGCAAUGACCACAGGCCUGGCUGAUGCCUUGGGAGAGACCUGGAGCUGAAGGACCCAGCUGAAUUGCUCCCAGAUUUCUGACCCACAGAAAUGGUGGGGAUAAUAAUAUGCAUUGUUUUAAGCCACUAA